UUCAAUCCCGUAUGGAUACCUAUAAAGAUCGAAUGCAUAUGCAGCUUUAAUAGAACCUACAGACAUUCUCAGAUUUGAUCUGAAGAAGUUUAGCAAUUCGAUAGGUAAUCUGAUCAUCAAAUUAUUUUCAUCAUGAAAUUAGAUGCAUGUUCUCUUAUUUCUCAUUAUAUGAACUAGAUCCGUAGGUGUUAGAUUAGAUCUAUAUAUGUGUAGAUUAAAAAUUAUUUAAUCUGUUCUUCCACUGCAUGUUCAAAAUAGUUUUGAAAAAUUUUGCAUGCAUGACAUCUCGAAAUCCAACAUGUGGCCAUUUUUGUAUGAGGGGUUGACUCAUCCCAUCCUAAGGUAGAUGC
rnacentral:lncRNA from 1 species